rnacentral:lncRNA from 1 species
GCAAGAUCUGCAAAUUAUGCUCAUCAAUGCUUUUAAAUAUGAUUGUCACGCAAUAGAAUACAAGAUUCCGAUACUUGGCCGUUACAUGUUUUUCUAUAUAAUAGGAAAAUGAAAUUCGAUCUAACAGAGAGACAAGUAGCACGUUUUUUUACCACUCAAAAGCCUUCGAGAUCUAAGUCUACCAAGUGAAGAUCAUCAAAAGUUGCUUAUGUUGAUCUUCUUUGAUCUGUACACAACUGGAAUCUUGACGAUUCCGUGUACACAUAUGCAGAUGAUUCGUGCAAAUCAACAGACAGCGAGAGCAUUUUGCGUUACAUUUCGCAUGUGAAUCUCCUUAAUUGGUAUUAUUCUAUCAUCUACCAAGCGACAAGUGGGAUCUUGACAACUUAAUUUAUGAUGUCUAUUUUUUGAAUUGCUUUGAAGUCCUUGUUGUUGGUAGUAUGUGUGUAAAACUUGAUCCAUAGGUUUUACAAUAAGAUUAAUUCUUUUGCUCUAAAUUUAAAAUUUAACCCAUUUAUAUGUUGAAUCAUUCAUUCGCUCCUGAGAUUAAAAAGAU